ensembl:lncRNA
UUGACGGAAACAGGGCAGGAGGGAUGAAGAGGGGUUUUUUCGCAUCUUGUCAACCAGAAACUCCUAAGGGUUUCUUCCUUCUCCCCAGCGCCUGGUUUUUUGUCUUGCCUUCUAAUUUUAUAUAUUUUAUUCCCACCCUAUAAGCCAAAAGGAGCGGCCCAAAACACGGUCCAAGAAAAGGUGGCCUGCUCUGCUUCUCGAAACCUGAAAAACCACACUUUUCUGACCAUUCGAGGUCAUUUCUGCAAGGAGUUGUCGGGACCAAGCACAACAUUUUUUGUAGGACUCACAGAUGCUUUUGGAGUGAACUGAAAUGCCCCAUGGAACGUCCACCUGUGUUUCCCCUGGACUGAGAACUCCCCAAGGAAACUUCCAGAUUGGAGACUUCCUUUCAGCAGUGAUAUGGGGAGUCUUCUAAUAAACUGCAGUCAUGUUCUAGGCUGUCCCCCUACCCACUGACACGCACAUUGUUGGCUGCUCUUCUGGAAAACGGGGAUCAAGCCGCUGACAGAGGCACAAUCCCCGUAGUCUGUGAGUUUACAGCCUUCCCCUGGGAAGUGUGGAAAACGUGAUCGCCCGCCUCCAGGGGUUUUGAGAGAGUCUGAUAAGACAUCUGAUAAGUAAAAUGCUUCGCCUGGGCUCCAGCACACAGUGAAUGCCCAAUCGGCGUCUUAGUUAUUAUUAUAUGUUCCGGGGCGGGGGGUGUUUGAGCAUCUGCGGAUCAUGAUUUCAACAACCACACCCCCAAGAUGCCGGAAAGCAGGUGUUGGGGAAAUAGGGUGAGGAGUAAUGUAAGAAUUCUAGAAUGCUGGUCAUGUCCCCGUGGCGGUUGGGUUUAGCUUGGAGUGUUUUUCCACAUCACUUCUUAGGCAACUUCUUCAAGUGAGAAGGCAAUGCACGCUUGCAGGGGCCAAGGGAGGAACUGGAAGGAGUUCAUUUUGCUCCACAGUCAGGCCUGUGAGGCGGAGGGCCCUCCAAACACGACAGCUUCGAAACAAUGCCAAAUCAGCAAGUGAAUUUAGAAACAUAAAUGCACCCUCCACUUCCGGCAUAACUGGGCAUAACUCCACUUCCUCUUGGCCUGGAAGGAAGGACUGCCAGUACAAUGAAAGACAAAUGGGUCUAGACAGAAGCCAAGAAAGAGUGCCCACGGUUAUGAUCUCAAGCUGAGCCCGGAAGGUCACAAGAGGCUCAUCCUGUUGGGCAAAUGGUGGUAGUCACUUGUUUGGAAUAUGAAGAGUGGGAUGUACAGCCUGACAGUUGGAACUCUCCUGGAGCUACCUGGCGUGGAGGUGGGGGACGGGAAGCCUCCUGCGGGAGAGACUGCAAGAUGCACUAGAAGGGCCUUCCUGCUGCCACUGGUCUGCUCAGGCAAAGGCAAGUUAAACUGCUCGCGCAGGCACACAGCCCUGUGAAUUAGGAACUUCGCUGGACCCCAGAGAGAUUUCCUGCUAGGCAGACAGGAGAGCCUCCCCUCAGUCCACAGAUCUCUUCAUCAGUCGGCAGUGACGAGCUCCCUCGCUCCUGAUUAGAGGCACUGGAAGGGGAGUGUAUGGCUGAUGGAUUUUGAGUAGGAGACCUGAUGUCUGCAAAGUACUUCCAACGCACGAAACAUAAGAUGAGGGGCACCUGUGUGGCUCAGUCGUUAAGCAUCUGCCUUCGGCUCGGGGCGUGAUCCCAGGGUCCUGGGAUUGAUCCCCGCAUCAGGCUCCCUGCUCCGCUGCGAGCCUGCUUCUUCCUCUCCCACUCCCCCUGCUUGUGUUCCCUCUCUCACUGGCUGUUUCUCUCUCUCUGUCAAAUAAAUAAAUAA